rnacentral:lncRNA from 1 species
AUUUAUAUUCAAUUUUGUCGGUUAUAGGCUUGGAACAAAAUUAGAAAGUCUUAUAAUCAUUAAUUUCGUAAAUGAAGGUAAUGAAACGAACCAAAAUAGAGUAAAACAAAUAAGAAUGUCAAUAACCUGUUAGGUUGAUAUUAAAUGUAAACAAUAUAUAAAGCACAUGUAAUUAUUAAGAAAAAGAAAUAGUCAGAUACAAAAUUUGAACAAUAAAAAAAAGUUACAAAUUGGACAAAAAAAAAAGUUACAAAUUGGACAAAAAAAAAAAUAACUAGUGAAGCAAAAAACAAAAAAAAAAAUGAUAAAACGAUGCGUGAUUAAAAAAAAUUAUAAAUAUGAUCAUGAAAAAAGCAAGCAAAGUUAUAAUUAUAUUAAUUUAGGAAUGAUUUGUAAAAGUAAAUUGGUCAAUAAUGAUAGUUAUAUGAAUAAUAUUUUUAGUAAUAUAAUAUUAAACAAUAAAAGUGAGGCAAAACAAAAAAAAUUUUACUGUAGUAAAACAAAAACUGAAAAAAAUCAAGAUAUCAAAACGCGUGACAAAACAUGUGACAAAACGCGUGACAAAACGCGUGACAAAACGCGUGACAAAACAAAUAAAUGUGAAGCUUUCAGCUUACACGAAUCAAACAAUAUAGAUAGUUUAUUUGAUUUAACAAAAAGAAAAAAUGUGAAAAAAGAUAAAUGUCAUGAUAAAGUUAAAAAACAACUUUUUUUUCGUUUUUCUUUUACCGAAUUAAAACAUAAAAAUGCAUUUUCUCAUUUAAAUAAUAGAUUUAUUAAUUUCAUAACCCCAAAUGAAAUAAAAAAAUUAAUGUUUGUAAAUUUUGCGCAGACUGUCGUAACUAGUAGUACUACUAACAAUGCAGUAACAAGUAACAAAAAAAAAAGUAUUAAUUUUGCCAGACUGAACCUUAAAGAGUUGUUAGUUUUUAUGAUAAACAACUUAACUAAUAUAGACGACAUGAGAACAUGGAAUAAUGUUUUUAUUCAAAUUGAUAAAUUAAUAUUAAAUAGGGGGGAAAAUAAAGAAAUUACAAAAGAAAUAAAUGAUUUUUUUGAAAAAUUAACAAAUAUAGAAUACUUUUUGUUAUUAACUAUUCUUAAAAAUGUAGAUACAAACAUCAAAAAUAGUAUUUUGAAUAACUUAUUUUUUGAGUGUUUAGUUGUUAAUUUGAAAAAAAGAGACAUAACAUAUAUUUAUAAGAAUGUAAAAACAGAAAAUACCAUAGAAGAAAAUGAUUCAGUUGGUAUACAACAUGCAAACAGGGAACUUAAAGAUCCAUUAUAUAUAGAAAAUAAAAAGCAGCUUGACUCGAUUUUUUUGGAAAAGGUGCUUAAGUUGGGAGGUGGUGAAACAAGAAUAGAGAAAGUGUGUAAGGAAAAUCAUUCUAUUACUACCAGUACAAACAUAAAAAAUGUAAAAUUGAUAGAAAGGUACUUAUAUGAAUCAAGUUUUUUUUCGAAUAAAUUUGAAAAUGUAUUACUAUUAAAAGAUUAUUUAAAUAAGAUAUUUCGGCAAAACAUUAACGAAUUAAUAGAUCUAAAUUUUUUUACCAAAACUAUUAAUUCACUAAAAAGUCAAAUAAAUAGUAAGAGUGUACAUGCUAUAAUAUAUACAUAUGAAAACAAGUUAGACAUGAUGAAGCCGUAUGAUUUGAGUUUUAGUUUUAUAGUUUUAUCAGAUUUAUUAAUAUCAAGUCAUAAUUUAUUUAAUAAUAUAAUAAAUUAUAUUAUUCAAAACCCGUUUAAUAAGUUUCAAAAAGUUGGUUAUUUUGUUCGUUUUGUAAAAAGUGUUGAAAAUUUUGAAUUAGGUUUGGCUAAUGCAAACAAGGGGGAUAAUAGUGAAAAAAGCAUACGACCUAAUGACGUUAGUAAUCAUGGUAAUAAUGUUGGGUUUUGUAAACAGACUAGGCGUGGACUCGAGUCCGGGCCAGAGCCAGAGCCAGAGUCUAAGUCCAAGCCCGAGGCAGAGGCAGAGCCAGAGCUAGAGCUAGAGCCAGAGUCAGAGUCAGAGUCCAAGUCCAAGUCCAAGUCUAUUGGUGCCAACCAAACUGUAUAUGAUCACCUAGUUAAGCAACAUAUCAAUUGCUAUAAAAAUAAAAACGAGAAUAAUACUAAAAAUUUUCAAAAUAACAUGCAUAACUUGUAUAAUUUUACAAUAACAAUAUUAAUUGAUAAGCUCAGUUCCAAUUUAAAAUUUUACGAUUUAAAUAAUUUAUUGUUCAUAUUCGAAUGUAUGGGAAAAAUAUUAUUUCUUUCGAAUAUACAAAACCAGAGGUUAUAUAUGUUUAUAAAUGAGUUGAGAUAUUAUGUGAAUGCUUCAGUUAAUUUAUUAACAGUCGAUAAUAAUACUUUGAUACGUCUUUUUAAAGUUUGUUCUGUGUUUUCUUUUGUGCCACCGUUGGAUCGUGCAAUGGGUACUGUAGUUACUACCACCACCUCCGCAGCGUUAACAGACACAAACUUGGAAAAUAGUUAUGAAUACCAAAAACCACUUCCUUUGUAUGACUUUUAUCAAGUAAAAAACAACAUUUUUGAAAUUAAUAAUUACGCUGUUAAUUUAACUAAUAAUAUAAAAAAAAAAAAAAAAAUUUAACCAAGAGGAUGUUUUGUUAAAAAAUAUUAUUCUUCGUUUAUGUUAUAACUUGAAUAAAAAUUUAGAAGAUAUAACUACA